rnacentral:piRNA from 1 species
UGAGUUUAUUGGAGAUUGAAA